UUCAUGUAUCUCUAGCACUUGUAAUCAAUCAAAUUCAUUGUAUUAUAACAUAUUCUAACCCAAAAUAACUUUAUACAAGCCAUUCACUGCCUUAAAGCAAUGAUUUUGGGUUCUUAUCCCAUUUGGGACCAAAUAUCAACAAGUCUUUUUUCUUACUUUUAAACAUUCUUCAUGCAUCUCUAGCACUUCUAAUCAAUCAAAUUCAUUAUAUUGUAACAUAUUCUAACCCAAAUUACUUUAUACAAGCCAUUCACUGCCUCAAAGCAAUGGUUUUGCGUUCUUAUCCCAUUUGGGACCAAAUAUCAACAAGUCUUUCUUCUCACUUCUAAACAUUAUUCAUGUAUCUCUAGCACUUGUAAUCAAUCAAAUUCAUUGUAUUAUAUCAUAUUAUAACCCAAAAUAACUUUAUAAAAGCCAUUCACUGCCUCAAAUCAAUGGUUUUGAGUUCUUAUCCCAUUUGGGAUCAAAUAUCAACAAGUCUUUCUUCUCACUUUUAAACAUUUUUCAUGCAUCUCUAGCACUUGUAAUCAAUCAAAUUCAUUGUCUUAUAACAUAUUCUAACCCAAAAUAACCUUAUACAAGCCAUUCACUGCCUCAAAGCAA
rnacentral:lncRNA from 1 species